rnacentral:lncRNA from 1 species
GAUCUACUGGGCCUAUGUUGACAUUCUGGUUAUCAUUGUUAUCAUUGAUGCUGUUGGUGCCUUCAGGAUCACUGUUGGCACGAGUAUGUCUUGUUGGAGGCAUUCUGUAAAGAAGAAACAAUUCACUUAGUCGUUUUAAAUCAAAUUCUCUUUUAUAAAAAGUUUUUUUUUUUGAGAAAACAGAAUUAUACAUUUUUGAAAACAUUUUUGAGAUUGUUUAACUAAAUAAAUUGCAUGCUUCUUUACAGAAUGUAGAGCAAUAAAAGAAAAGGGUUCAAUAUUAUCACAAGAGUUUAUGAUUGGUACUGAAAGUAAAGUAAAGUAAAGCAAGUGCGAUAAAGUAAAGGACAAGACUGUAAAGUAAAAGAUGCUGAUAUAUAUAAGUCAGUGCUGGAGAUACAAGCGUCAAGCGCUUUAUCAAAAGUAAAGUACAACAACAGCAACAGCAAGGCUAUCCUCUAGUCCGCUCGGCUAGUCUAUAUAUACAUGUCAAAAUCUGCCGACAACCACAACAACAUACAUAUCAUCUAGUCAGCUCCGCUAGUCUAUAUACAUGACAAAAUCUGCUGACCUGAUCCAUACUACUCACUAUGCUGCAUCAUACACACUACUCACUACCAUACUGACCAUCUCCAACACAUGAUAUACUCCAGACCUAUGGAAAGUCUGGCCCUCCGAUAACCUCCAGCUGCUCCAAGACCCAACGAGCCCAAUCUAUAAUAUCCCCAGGGGUACCAAACUCCGAAGUGGCUCCAUGUAGUCUCGCUGCUGCAAUCCUCCGGAAGACAAAGAUAUUCUCUCUCAACUGUCGCUCUCCCCUGUUAGGAUCUAAAUUCUGCAUCGCCUGUGUCAACUCUCCAAUUUGGCCCAACAACUCCUCUCUCUCCAUCAAGAGUGCCUGAUAGUAGUGAUAGGGUACCGAAAGUGGGGAACACGGAUAAGAGGGUCCGACACCUGAGAAUCCAGAAGACUCAUGCUCUGGUGGAGGUCCACGGAUAGGAGGUCGUAUAAGGGGAGCAGGUGGGGACAUCACAGGAGCGGGCGGGGGUAUAGCCCUAAGUGGUAUAGGUGCAAUAGGGGUCUGUCCACUACGAGGGUAUCCAGGUGGACGUGAAGGUCCAGCUACAGGUGGGGGUGUAAGUGCCCUGGGUGGAGAUAUAGGUACAACUCCAGGACGGGGUGGAAGUCCCUCAACCGUCGACUCUGAAUGAUCAGAAUGAACCGGGGUACUGGGGCCUGACAUGCCUGAUAGUCUGAGAAUCAACAUAAACAAACACGUAUAAGAAUCUGUAUCCACUACCAACAUCAACCCUAAAUCUAUUACGAAUAAUCCUCAACCUCUCAACGUUCUAUCUACCUAUCACUCAUUUCUAGUCCUAAUCUUCUACCCAACCUAACAAUCUAGGCUUGUUUCAUUGACUUAAAACCUGUCGCUCUGAUACCAACCUGUGGCGCCCUCCAAACCCGGGUCAGAAGUUUGGGGUCCACAUCUCAACAUAAACCUGUAAUUAAUGAUAUAAUAUAUAUAGUGACCCUUCACUGUCCUUGGAUCGCAACAGGUUAAAGUAUAAAACAAGCCACAACACAACUUUAAUUAUUACAAACCCAAAUCCCAAAAUAAAAACUUAAAUCUUACAAGCUUACACGCCAUUUGUGUCUCGUUAUUCAAACUAGUACAUAUAUGAAAAGCCAGGUGCUGCUGAUAGCUCUCUUCAUCUCCUAGCCUGGAAUCCUGACCUUACUACUAGCCUGAGGGUCAUCGUUACCAACUUUCUCUGCCUUCACUGGAAAGAACAUAAAAUACCGCAAGAGUGAGCUAACCAGCUCAGCAAGUAUAACAAUAUCAAUUUAAAAUAUUAAUCAUAAGCUGAAGGAAACCAGUGUCUCAAGGAAUCAAUCUCAAUACCAAGAUUUGUUUUUAGAACAUUGAUUAGAAUUGGAUAUUAAAUUUAUUUUUAAAAAUCAAAGGUUAGGCUGCUGAUCAGUCAGACACUAACCCCGAGCAGGUCCCACCAUGCUCGUUUAUUGGAUCCAAGGCACACAUUGGCCUAAAGUGACCACUCAUCUGGUCUGACCAUUCAUCUGGUCCAAGUUUAGAAAACUAUCCAAUUCUAUCACAAUCAAGAUGAUCAACAAUAUUAUUCAAUAAAAUAAGAACAUCAAUAUCAUAAAUAAAUUUUGAAGCAGAAGCAACUACUAUUCAAAGUGUCUCAAAUGGAUCUCAAAGGAGAAAUGAGAAUUAUCUUCAUGGUUUUAGCAAAGAAUCAGAUAUUGCCUUAUAGGAUGGCAAAGCACGUCAAAGUUUCGUGUUUACAUGAAGAAGGGUUCUAGGUUCACAAAAAGAAUCCAAGUAUAAAUGAAUGCUGUUAAGAUCAAGAAACUGGAGUUUAUGGAAAGAAUCAAUCAACUGUAAGUUAUAUGUCAUAACAGAUGUUAUUUGGGGUCGUUCAACUGGUUACGGUCUGAAAUAAAAGUGAUUGAUAACUGGUUGAGGUAUCGAGGGUAUAUUUUUGAAAUGAAAUUAGGUUGUUAUGGUAAUCAUUUAGAAGUUUUAAAGAUGGAAGGUUUACAAUUGAAAUAAGUUUCGUAGCAGGUAUCAAAGAAUCGGUCAAAGGUUCAAGAAUCAAUAAGGUAAGUAAUCCAUAAUAUAGUUCAAGAAAUCUGGUUGAAGGUUCAAGAAUCAAUAGGAUAAAUAAUCCAUAAAAUAGUUCAAGAAAUUUGGUUGAAGGUUCAAGAAUCAAUAGGAUAAAUAAUCCAUGCGAUAAUUCAAUAGGUCACAGGACUUCAUCAGAAAGUUCACUAAAUAAUCACAACAGAUACAACAUAUAAUUGAAGGAAAGUCUGAGGGAACUUGCCUUAUAUAGCUGAUCUCAAGUUUCAACUACGCUUGCUCGCUAUACUACUCUAUCACCACUUGCUUUCCCUUCCUACGUCUCGCUUCUUCUGCUAAUCACAACAAUUCUUUAUCAAUAUAUGAUCUCAUACUAUUCUUAUCAUCCUUUAUUCGAAACGAGCUUCUAUCUACCCUUCGUUUCACCCAAAUCCGAUUUACGGAUCAAAAGAUAUGUCAAACACAAUUUUAUAUCAAUCACGUAAACACAUAACAUAUCAAUCAGAUAGCACAUAGCUCAUAUCACAUAAAAUAUUUAAUAAAAUAUAUUUUUCAAAAGAGGUUUGAAGUCAAACAGACUUUUCUGGUAUUUAUUAAGAACUUUUAAACAUUUUUCGGAAUUAAAACGGGUCAAAGAAUCAUUUUAUAAAUAAAUAAUCAAUUUUGGAUACUCGAAAUCAAGUCCGAAAUCAUUUGAAAACAAUUAACGAGCUUCAAUCAUAUUUUAGAAUAAUAUUUUAAAGCUCGAAACUAUUUUUCGGAAUUUUAAAAUCAUUUAAAAUUAUAUAAAAUAAUUAAAUCCAAUCAAUAAAUCAAUUAAAAUCAAUUAAUAAUUAAUUAAAAUAAUUAAUCAAUUAAUAAUUAACUUAAUUGACUAAUUAUAAUAAUUAAUUACUAAUUAAAAUUAAUUAAUAAAUUAAAUCAGAUUUAUUUUUGAAUAAUUAAAAACAAUUUUUGAAAUUAAAAUAAAUGAUUUUCGAAAUUAAAAUAAAUUAGUUUUUAAAGGUUUUAAAACUUCAGGGUUUAAACUGCAAGUUUUGAAACUUAAAGGUUUGAAUUGCAAGUUUUAAAACUAUGGUACAACAACUUCACCAUCUUCAAAAGAUGGGUGACCAAACGGAAAUUUUUCCGCCGGUCACCACCUGCCACGCCGGAGACGGCGUUUGCCGCCUCCUCCGACCACCAUACACUGCAGAUCCACUCCCCAUGUCACCGGGAACCCAUUUAUGUAAUUAGUUUCGUCAAAGGACGCCGGAAUCGGCCGGAUUGUGGCCGGGAAAUUCGCCGGCGACGGCGAGCUUCGUCGGCUCCGUUCCGGUCGAUUUCCAGGUCCCCCGACUUCAAAAUAUAGCUCAACCGACUCCUCUUUACACCCUCUAUCCAUUACAAGCUUCAAAACAUCCCCAGAAUCAACGAAUCGAAAAGCCCCAAUUUCAAUUGAAAACAUUCAAACAAGCUAUGAACCCUAGUUCUUCAAAUUCGAAAAUCAAACCCAAUUUUAAAGGUGUUAUGAACCUCCAAAUCACACAUAUGAUAUACCAAAAUGAUCAGGAGAACAUUAUCUACAACAUACAAUCACCAAAACACAUAAACAACUUCAAAAUCAAAAAGUCCCAAUUUGAAUUAAUUUAAUUCGAAUUUUAAACCCAAAAAUCCAAAUUACCUGAUGAUUUCUGAGUGUUUUUGAUGAUGAAAAUGGAUUCUACACGUCGAAACCUUCGAUUUGGAUACUUGAACACCAAAAUCCGAGUCCGAUAACACCUCCGAUUCUUCGUUUGAAUCUCAAGAACGCGAUAAACUCUCUCGGGAAUUUCUCGGUUUUAACUGGUUUUAUGAUUUUCGUAAUGAAAUAAAGUACGGUUAAG